CCACGACCCUGCUCCACCUCCUGCGAUGGAUUCUACGAGGCUCCAUCUCUCCUUGGCAGGCCGCAAUAAUGGCCACGGUCCUGCUCCACUUCCUGCGACAGAUACCGUGCGAUUCUCCUAUCCUCUAGCAAGUCGCGACAACAGACGUCGCUCCGCUUCUCGUGGUUGACUCCACGUGGCACGCCCCGGUAAUGGCCACGGAUCCACCCCACUACGCUCCGCAAUAAAUUUCUCCUGACUCUGGGCG
rnacentral:lncRNA from 1 species